rnacentral:rRNA from 1 species
GAUGAACGCUGGCGGCGUGCCUAAUACAUGCAAGUCGAGCGAACGGACGAGAAGCUUGCUUCUCUGAUGUUAGCGGCGGACGGGUGAGUAACACGUGGAUAACCUACCUAUAAGACUGGGAUAACUUCGGGAAACCGGAGCUAAUACCGGAUAAUAUUUUGAACCGCAUGGUUCAAAAGUGAAAGACGGUCUUGCUGUCACUUAUAGAUGGAUCCGCGCUGCAUUAGCUAGUUGGUAAGGUAACGGCUUACCAAGGCAACGAUGCAUAGCCGACCUGAGAGGGUGAUCGGCCACACUGGAACUGAGACACGGUCCAGACUCCUAUGGGAGGCAGCAGUAGGGAAUCUUCCGCAAUGGGCGAAAGCCUGACGGAGCAACGCCGCGUGAGUGAUGAAGGUCUUCGGAUCGUAAAGCUCUGUUAUUAGGGAAGAACAUAUGUGUAAGUAACUGUGCACAUCUUGACGGUACCUAAUCAGAAAGCCACGGCUAACUACGUG